GCGGGGUGAGGAGGGGCAUGCGGCACUUCGGGCCUCGUCCUCGCGGUGCUGCGCUGAAAUGAAUCCCCAUUCAUUUCCAGUCUCAUCGAAAUGAAUGCUUCUAGGUGUUAUUUUAGGGCCAGUUCUACAGAAAGGGCGAAGACGUGCCUGCGGGAGGGGAGCCUUGAGCUGCAGCGUGGGCACCGACCCGCUGAGCUGGGGCUGAAGGACCAAGAGCAGAACUGACGACUCGUGGCUCGGCCUAACGUUUGUCGGCAGGUUGAUGCGUUGCCAUUCUCACUCAACAGACGCUUGUGAGGAAGGCCUGUUAGCAAGUCAAAUGCUUGAUCUUUGCUGUUCUGCUCUUUGCUGAAGGCAGGGCUACGCGUGGCUGAGCAGUCUGCAACAGAACAGGGAGAAGAGGACACAAAAUUGUGCUUACAAGAAUCAAAACAUGAAGAAUCUUGCUGAGAACAACACUGAGAAUGAACAACAUUUAACAAGACAACUGAAAUCUUUGGAAACUGUUUACACAGCCUUAAAGCACAAAAAGCUGCUUGAGAGCAUUCUGCUGGCCUUUAGUGGUGCUGUGUCAGAAGUUUUGGUCUGAGUAUUCUUCAACCUUUCCAGGUCAACACUGUUGAGUUUAAGAGGUCUAGGCUGCUUUUUGAAAGAUGCCGUGAAACCUGCAGCUUCGAUUUGGCAUUUGAUCUCUUCUGCUGUAAUUAGAUGAGGCUGAUACACAACAACAGCUUCCUGAUUGUCCAAGGACACUGAAAAUUAAACAAUAAAAAGGAGCGUGCAUUACUGCCCUAAGCAUAACAAGCAUUUUUCUGUAAGAGCAAUAGAUGUCAUCAAGGGUUACAAAAAAUGCUUCAAAUGUUCAGAAA